GAUGAACGCUAGCGGCAGGCUUAAUACAUGCAAGGUCGAGGGGGCAGCAAUGUCACCGGCGAACGGGUGCGUAACGCGUAUGCAACCUACCCUGUACUGGGGGAUAGCCCGGAGAAAUUCGGAUUAAGACCCCAUAGCACUUAAGAAUGGCAUCAUUCAUAAGUUAAAGGUUACGGUACAGGAUGGGCAUGCGUCCCAUUAGCUAGAUGGUGAGGUAACGGCUCACCAUGGCGACGAUGGGUAGGGGGCCUGAGAGGGUGGUCCCCCACACUGGUACUGAGACACGGACCAGACUCCUACGGGAGGCAGCAGUGAGGAAUAUUGGUCAAUGGGCGCAAGCCUGAACCAGCCAUGCCGCGUGCAGGAAGACGGUCCUAUGGAUUGUAAACUGCUUUUAUUUGGGAAUAAACCUAUCUACGUGUAGAUAGCUGAAGGUACCAAAUGAAUAAGCACCGGCUAACUCCGUG
rnacentral:rRNA from 1 species